AUACGUAGGGGCCAAACGUUGUCCGGAUUUAUUGGGCGUAAAGGGCUCGUAGGCGGUUCAAUAAGUCGAUCGUGAAAGCCCGGGGCUCAACCCCGGGACGCCGGUCGAAACUGUUGUGACUAGGGUCCGGUAGAGGUGAGUGGAAUUCUCGGUGUAGCGGUGGAAUGCGCAGAUAUCGAGAGGAACACCAGUUGCGAAGGCGGCUCACUGGGCCGGUACCGACGCUAAGGAGCGAAAGCGUGGGGAGCAAACAGGAUUAGAAACCCCAGUAGUCC
rnacentral:rRNA from 1 species